UACGUAGGGUGCGAGCGUUGCCCGGAUUUAUUGGGCGUAAAGGGCGCGUAGGCGGCCACGCACGUCCGUUGUGAAAUCGCUCGGCUCAACUGGGCGGGGUCAGCGGAUACGGAGUGGCUGGAGCAAGCUAGGGGGCAAUGGAAUUCCCGGUGUAGUGGUGGAAUGCGUAGAUAUCGGGAGGAACACCAGUGGCGAAGGCGGUUGCCUGGAGCUUUGCUGACGCUGAUGCGCGAAAGCGUGGGGAGCGAGCGG
rnacentral:rRNA from 1 species